rnacentral:rRNA from 1 species
AUACGGAGGGGGCGAGCGGUGUCCGGAAUGAUUGGGCGUAAAGGGCGCGUAGGCGGCGCGGUAAGUCUGGAGUGAAAGUCCUGCUUUCAAGGUGGGAAUUGCUUUGGAUACUGCCGCGCUUGAGGGCAGGAGAGGUUAUCGGAAUUCCCGGUGGAGCGGUGAAAUGCGUAGAGAUCGGGAGGAACCCCAGUGGCGAAGGCGGGUAACUGGACUGCAACUGACGCUGAGGCGCGAAAGUGUGGGGAGCAAACAGGAUUAGAUACCCUGGUAGUCCACACUGUAAACGAUGAAUGCUAGGUGUAAGAGGUAUCGACCCCUUUUGUGCCGGAGUCACCACAAUAAGCAUUCCGCCUGGGGAGUACGGCCGCAAGGUUGAAACUCAAAUGAAUUGACGGGG